rnacentral:rRNA from 1 species
GGCGAACGCUGGCGGCGCGCCUAAAGCAUGUAAGUCGAACGGAGCCUUCUUCGGAAUGCUCAGUGGCGGACGGCUGAGUAACACGUGGGUAACCUGCCCCGAAGUGGGGAAUAACUCGUGGAAACAUGGGUUAAUACCGCAUAUGGUCUAUGCCCGCAAGGGCACAGACUAAAGGCAGCAAUGUCGCUUCGGGAGGGGCCCGCGGCCCAUCAGCUAGUUGGCGGGGUAAUGGCUCACCAAGGCGAUGACGGGUAGCUGGCCUGAGAGGGUGGUCAGCCAGACUGGGACUGAGAAACGGCCCAGACUCCUACGGGAGGCAG